AGCAGUCGCCACGGUAAUACGAAGGGGGCUAGCGUUGUUCGGAAUUAUUGGGCGUAAAGGGUGCGUAGGCGGUUUGAUAAGUCUUGUGUGAAAUCUCUGGGCUCAACCCAGAGUCUGCACAGGAAACUGUCGGGCUUGAGAGUGGGAGAGGUGAGUGGAAUUUCCGGUGCAGCGGUGAAAUGCGUAGAUAUCGGAAGGAACACCUGUGGCGAAAGCGGCUCACUGGACCAUUUCUGACGCUGAUGCACGAAAGCUAGGGGAGCAAACAGGAUUAGAUACCCCGGUAGUCCCUGUCUCUUAUAC
rnacentral:rRNA from 1 species